AUUGAACGCUGGCGGCAGGCCUAACACAUGCAAGUCGAGCGAGCGGCGGACGGGUGAGUAAUGUAUGGGGACUGCCCGAUCGAGGGGGAUAACUACUGGAAAAGGUGGCUAAUACCGCAUACUAUCGGAUAACCCAUAUGGGAUUAGCGAGUAGGUGGGGUAAAGGCUCACCAAGGCGACGAUCCCUAGCUGGUCUGAGAGGAUGAUCAGCCACACUGGGACUGAGACACGGUCCAGACUCCUACGGAGGCAGCAGUGGGGAAUAUUGCACAAUGGGCGCAAGCCUGAUGCAGCCAUGCCGCGUGUAUGAAGAAGGCCUUAGGGUUGUAAAGUACUUUCAGCGGGGAGGCGUUACCCGCAGAAGAAGCACCGGCUAACUCCGUGCCAGCAGCCGCGGUAAUAC
rnacentral:rRNA from 1 species